UACGAAGGGGGCUAGCGUUGCUCGGAAUCACUGGGCGUAAAGCGCACGUAGGCGGAUCCUUAAGUCGGGGGUGAAAUCCUGGAGCUCAACUCCAGAACUGCCUUCGAUACUGAGGAUCUCGAGUCCGGGAGAGGUGAGUGGAACUGCGAGUGUAGAGGUGAAAUUCGUAGAUAUUCGCAAGAACACCAGUGGCGAAGGCGGCCCACUGGCCCGGUACUGACGCUGAGGUGCGAAAGCGUGGGGAGCGAACAGG
rnacentral:rRNA from 1 species